rnacentral:rRNA from 1 species
CAAUAGCGUAUAUUUAAGUUGUUGCAGUUAAAAAGCUCGUAGUUGGAUUUCGGUUGAGAACGGCCGGUCCGCCGUUUGGUGUGCACUGGCUGGUUUCAACUUCCUGUAGAGGACGCGCUCUGGCUUCACGGCUGGACGCGGAGUCUACGUGGUUACUUUGAAAAAAUUAGAGUGUUCAAAGCGGGCUUACGCUUGAAUAUUUCAGCAUGGAAUAACACUAUAGGACUCCUGUCCUAUUUCGUUGGUCUCGGGACGGGAGUAAUGAUUAAGAGGAACAGUUGGGGGCAUUCGUAUUUCAUUGUCAGAGGUGAAAUUCUUGGAUUUACGCAAGACAAACAGCUGCGAAAGCGUCUGCCAAGGAUGUUUUCAUUAA